AUGGGCAAUCUGUGCUGCUGUGUUCAAGUUGACCAGUCUACCGUGGCCAUCAGGGAGCAGUUUGGGAAGUUUGACAGUGUGCUUGAGCCAGGAUGCCACUGCCUGCCUUGGAUCUUUGGGAAGCGUGUAGUUGGCCAUCUCACACUGAGGUUGCAGCAGCUGGAUGUGCGGUGUGAAACUAAGACAAAGGACAAUGUGUUUGUCACUGUUGUUGCAUCGAUUCAGUACCGACCUCUGGCUGGCAAAGAAAGUGAUGCAUACUACAAACUAACCAACACAAGAUCCCAGAUUCAAGCCUAUGUCUUUGAUGUGAUCAGGGCAAGUGUUCCAAAGCUCAACCUGGAUGAUGCUUUCGUGCAGAAGAACGAUAUAGCAAUGGCUGUGGAGGAUGAACUUGAAAAGGCUAUGUCGGCAUAUGGCUUUGAGAUCGUGCAGACCCUCAUUGUCGACAUCGAGCCAGAUGCGCAUGUCAAGCAGGCGAUGAAUGAGAUCAAUGCAGCUGCAAGGAUGAGGGUGGCUGCAAACGAGAAGGCGGAGGCUGAGAAGAUUGUCCAGAUCAAGCGUGCCGAGGGUGAAGCAGAGGCCAAGUACCUGUCUGGCCUCGGUAUCGCCCGCCAGCGCCAGGCCAUUGUGGAUGGCCUGAGGGACAGCGUCCUGGGCUUCUCAGUCAAUGUGCCUGGCACCACUGCAAAGGACGUGAUGGACAUGGUGCUGAUCACCCAGUACUUUGAUACUAUGAAAGAGGUCGGCGCGUCCUCCAAGUCCUCGGCGGUGUUCAUCCCCCAUGGCCCUGGUGCGGUGCGUGACAUCGCCACGCAGAUCCGCGACGGUCUUCUUCAGGGCCAGUCUGCCUCUGACAACUAA
rnacentral:rRNA from 1 species